rnacentral:hammerhead_ribozyme from 1 species
ACUCGGCUGACGAGUCCCAAAUAGGACGAAACGCGCAUCCUGGAU